rnacentral:rRNA from 1 species
UACGUAGGGACCAAGCGUUGUCCGGAAUCAUUGGGCGUAAAGAGCGUGUAGGCGGCUUGUUAAGUCUUGCGUGAAAUCUCGGGGCUCAACCCCGAGCGGUCGUGAGAAACUGGCAGGCUAGAGUGCGGGAGAGGAGAGUGGAAUUCCUGGUGUAGCGGUGAAAUGCGUAGAUAUCAGGAGGAACACCGGUGGUGUAGACGGCUUUCUGGACCGAACACUGACGCUGAGACACGAAAGCGUGGGGAGCAAACAGG